rnacentral:rRNA from 1 species
AUUGAACGCUGGCGGCAGGCCUAACACAUGCAAGUCGAGCGGAUGAGGGGAGCUUGCUCCCUGAUUUAGCGGCGGACGGGUGAGUAAUGCCUAGGAAUCUGCCUGGUAGUGGGGGAUAACGUUCCGAAAGGAACGCUAAUACCGCAUACGUCCUACGGGAGAAAGCAGGGGACCUUCGGGCCUUGCGCUAUCAGAUGAGCCUAGGUCGGAUUAGCUAGUUGGUGAGGUAAUGGCUCACCAAGGCGACGAUCCGUAACUGGUCUGAGAGGAUGAUCAGUCACACUGGAACUGAGACACGGUCCAGACUCCUACGGGAGGCAGCAGUGGGGAAUAUUGGACAAUGGGCGGAAGCCUGAUCCAGCCAUGCCGCGUGUGUGAAGAAGGUCUUCGGAUUGUAAAGCACUUUAAGUUGGGAGGAAGGGCUGCUGGUUAAUACCCUGCAGUUUUGACGUUACCAACAGAAUAAGCACCGGCUAACUUCGUG